rnacentral:lncRNA from 1 species
CCUGUGUCCUGCAUAACUUCAUGAGGAUGGACACGAGGACCAGGAGGGGAUCUGAAACUCGCCGCCGUGUGCUGCUCUGCAAGAUGUUUCAAGGAUGGGGUCCAACAACGCAGCAAGAGAGUAAGCAGGCUUAGGUGUGUAACUGUGGCUCCUUCCACCUUCAAAGAAUAGGCAAGAGGGCCAAUCAUGGAGAAUAGUAAGAUACUUCAUUAUGUCUAUAACUACUCUAUAUUGUUUGUCCUCGUGUGUCCGUUCAUGUUUUUCAGCAUAAAGUACUCUGCAGCCACUUAGUGUGGUGUGGACACCAGGAGAGGCCACACAGAAAUUCCUGUUGAACACGGUCACUUUAACUACCUUAUUUUUCAAUAACAGUCUCUCAACUUCACUUCAUCCCUCUCUCCUCUUCUCCCUAAAUCCUCUAGGUUAUAUCAGCUGUGUCAGUGAACCCCUCCCACAUCUGAACUGGCUACAUAGAGGGCACAGCAUGAUCAGAGAUUUGUUUUGAUGUGAGAGAGGAUGCCAAUCCCCAGUCCCAUCAUCGCCACCUCACCCGCUUAAAGAUAACCUUCAGGUGACUAGAGAUUAGAGGUCGACCGAUUAAUCAGUAUGGCCGAUUAAUUGGGGCCGAUUUCAAGUUUUCAUAACAAUCGGUAAUCGGCAUUUCUGAACGCCGAUUGUGGACGAUUUAAAAAAUAUAUACCUUUAUUUAACUAGGCAAGUCAGUUAAGAACACAUUCUUAUUUUCAAUGACGGCCUAGGAACGGUGGGUUAACUGCCUUGUUCAGGGGCGGAACGACAGAUUUUUACCUUGUCAGCUCGGGGAUUCGAUCUUGCAACCUUCCGGUUACUAGUCCAACGCUCUAACUACC